rnacentral:misc_RNA from 1 species
UGUGGGAGCGAGCUUGCUCGCGAUAACGUCGGUUCAGCUACAUCGAUGUUGACUGGCGCACCGCUAUCGCGAGCAAGCUCGCUCCCACA